UCAAGGUCUGUGCAUUGACAUGCAUGCGGUGAAUUGCUGCUAUCGGGUUGUAUGUCGUAGAAGCCAUCUUCUGUACUGUCUUGUGCUUGGUUUUGCAACAGGAUUUGGCGACGGCCUUCAUCAAGGUCCUCGGCAACCCCAAAGCGAGCAAGCAGGUGUACAACAUCUCCGGCAGCAAGUAUGUCACCUUCGACGGGAUAGCACAGGCAUGCGCAAAGGCUGGGGGGUUCCCUGAGCCGGAGAUCAUCCACUACAACCCCAAGGACUUCGAUUUCGGCAAGAAGAAGGCCUUCCCCUUCAGAGACCAGCAUUUCUUCGCAUCGGUGGAGAAGGCCAGCAAGGACCUCGGGGUUACGCUGGAGUACGACCUCCUCGACGGCUUGACGGAUUCGUACAACCUUGACUUCGACCGCGGGACCUUCAGGAAGGAGGCUGACUUCACCACAGACGACAUGAUCCUCGGCAAGAAGCUCGUGAGCGUCUGAGGCGUGCAUGGACGGGCUCAUGGCAGUGCAAAGCGUGUGGCAAUAGCGUGUGCGGCGUGCAUAUGUAUCACAGGGAAGACGAUCUCAGUUUUGGGAUGUAGGUUGAGGUUCACUCAUCCG